CCUACGGGGAGCAGCAGUGAGGAAUAUUGGUCAAUGGACGAGAGUCUGAACCAGCCAAGUAGCGUGAAGGAUGACUGCCCUAUGGGUUGUAAACUUCUUUUAUAUGGGAAUAAAAUGUUCCACGUGUGGGAUUUUGUAUGUACCAUAUGAAUAAGGAUCGGCUAACUCCGUGCCAGCAGCCGCGGUAAUACGGAGGAUCCGAGCGUUAUCCGGAUUUAUUGGGUUUAAAGGGAGCGUAGGUAGAUUGUUAAGUCAGUUGUGAAAGUUUGCGGCUCAACCGUAAAAUUGCAGUUGAAACUGGCAGUCUUGAGUACAGUAGAGGUGGGCGGAAUUCGUGGUGUAGCGGUGAAAUGCUUAGAUAUCACGAAGAACUCCGAUUGCGAAGGCAGUUCACUGGACUGCAACUGACACUGAGGCUCGAAAGUGUGGGUAUCAAACAGGAUUAGAUACCCCGGUAGUC
rnacentral:rRNA from 1 species